GUUAGUCACAAGCUUACAAGCCAGAAAAUGAUUCAAAGAGAGAGAAGGUGUCAUUUGUUGGGUUGAAUUAUUCUCCUCAAUUUGGAAGGUUCUUAUGAAGCUGCCACUUGGACUCUCUCAAGGUGAAGACCCUCAAAGGCUCAAACAAUUUUUUUUUUUGUGGUGUUAGUUCUUCAUCUUCAGUAGCAUCAAUGUGAUGCUUUAAAUUGGUAUUAUACUUAUUUGGAGGCCCAACGAAAAGGAAAGACUCAAGUACCGGAGUAAUUGCUUGAUUAAUUAAGGCAAGUGAAUUUCUA